ensembl:lncRNA
UGCAAGAAAACAGCACAUUCCAGAUGUCAAAGCAUUGGAGAAAAUGCGUAAAAAAAAGAUGGAACACGUUGAUUUUAGGAUGCGGAUCCUUCUGCGUUCACAUGAAGGUCUGUUUAUAGCAUAACACAAAAUUCUGGAGGAGAUGCGGGAAAGAGGAUGCUGCUGUCUCCUCUUGCUAGUGUCAACUAGUUAAAGAAAAUACACACGCACGAGCAGGACCCUCCCCUCCUCGCUCUCUCUCUCUCUCUUCAUUGAGAUGAGAAAGAUACGAUGGCUUGUUGGGAGUGCGUGAGGGUUCAGACCGGAAACCCAGUGGGACCAUAUAUGCUGCGACCACUCCUCCAAUUCAACCCACUCUUAAAGCAAGUCCAGCCUAAUGUCAGGUGAUGAUGAUGAUGAUGAAGGAAUGGUAAAGCAAAAUGUUCUUCUGGACAUGAUGCCCUCAUCUGUGCUCUGGACAAAGUCUCCUCUCUCACACACACCUGGAUCAUUUUGAGGGGACACUGCUGUCCCCAUCACUCACUGUCUGUUCCAAAACAAAUAACCUAACAAGGUCAGCCAAAACACUCAUACUCCAUUACUCCGCUGGCUCAUUGUGUGCCAGAGCUCCUGCCACUGCUACAUCACAUUUGUGUAUCGACAGCUGCUAAUAAUGGCAUGUGAAAUCUCAUAAACUCCCACUGACACCAGCAAGGAGAGCUAUCCUUAAAAACUGUUGUGAUAAUUGCAACAGAGAGACCCUUAUCUUCAUCACUUUGCAUAAUUUGAAACUUAAUUUGAAUAAUGCAGUAAUUGGUAAUCAUGUAGACAGGCAAAUGAUCUAAUUCAAUUUGGCACAGCAUCUGUUUAAGCAAACGUCUAGGAGAAACAUGAAUAUAUCUGACGGAAUUAUUUGAGAAUUUAAGUUAUUUUAAUGUACAAUUCACAUACUUAUAUGACAUAUCCUGCAUUAGUUUAAAAGUAAAAGUCUGCAUGCAGUAUUGCAUCUUGAAGGAAUAUUUAAUGGUUUAAUACAAUGUUGAUUACCAUAAAAAUGAAUCUCUUGCAGUGUUGCACUUACAGUGAAAGUGGCCAAUAUAUUCAUAUUAAAAUAUUCACUUUGAAUAGUGUAGCUAGAAGAUGUCAACAAAGUUAACAGUACUGUACUGUGAAAAAAUAGCUUACUAACCUUUUCUGUGUAAGUAUAUCAAAUUUAUAUAUUUGUUGCCAUGACAACGUAAUGCCUAAACAUUAAAAACUGUUACAAGUUUUAAAAGAAGAAUUGAGUGCUUUUAUAACAU